rnacentral:lncRNA from 1 species
AGCUGGGCAAUGGUGGUGCACGUCUUUAAUCCCUGCACUUGGGAGGCAGAGGCAGGCGGAUUUCUGAGUUCGGGGCCAGCCUUGUCUACAAGGUGAGUUCUAGGGCAGCCAGGGCUAUACAGAGAAACCCUGUCUUGAAAACAAAAAACAAACAAACAAACAAAAAUAGGAUUUGAAAAAGACUAAAGUUACAAUACAUUGUCGUGCAGAAACGAUCCAUUUAGUAGGGGCUGGGGUGAUGACUCUGUGAUAAAAUGCUUGCUCUGCAAAUGUGUAAAUACUGACUUUACAAACAUCCCCUGCACCACACUGGGACCUGUCUGUAAUCUCAGCAUGGGGCAGGAUGGCUAGCUAAGUUAGUGGGAUCUGAGAGUUCUGAGUUCUGCUAGUGACUCUGCCUCAGGACAUAGAACAGUGAAGGAUCAAGGGUGACACUUGGCAUCAACCUCUGGUCUCUACACACAUGCACACAUAUACACUCACCCCCAACACACACAUGCACACUCACACAUGCACACUCACCCCACACUCACACAUGCACAUAUACAAUGCACACUCACCCCCACAUAACACAUGCACACUCACUUCCAACAAACACAUGCACAUAUACACAUGCACACUCACACAUACACAUAUGCACACUCACACAUACACAUAUGCACACUCACCCACACACACACAUGCACAUACAGACAUGCACACUCACCCCCAUACACAUGCACAUACACAUAUACACAUGCACACUCACACACACACACACACACACACACA